rnacentral:rRNA from 1 species
GGGUUGUGAGGUUAAGCGACUAAGCGUACACGGUGGAUGCCCUGGCAGUCAGAGGCGAUGAAGGACGUGCUAAUCUGCGAAAAGCGUCGGUAAGGUGAUAUGAACCGUUACAGCCGGCGAUGUCCGAAUGGGGAAACCCAGUGCAAUUCGUUGCACUAUCGUUAACUGAAUACAUAGGUUAACGAGGCGAACCGGGGGAACUGAAACAUCUAAGUACCCCGAGGAAAAGAAAUCAACCGAGAUUCCCCCAGUAGCGGCGAGCGAACGGGGAGCAGCCCAGAGUCUGAAUCAGCUUGUGUGUUAGUGGAACGGUCUGGAAAGUCCGACGGUACAGGGUGAUAGUCCCGUACACCAAAAUGCACAGGCUGUGAACUCGAAGAGUAGGGCGGGACACGUGGUAUCCUGUCUGAAUAUGGGGGGACCAUCCUCCAAGGCUAAAUACUCCUGACUGACCGAUAGUGAACCAGUACCGUGAGGGAAAGGCGAAAAGAACCCCGGCGAGGGGAGUGAAAAAGAACCUGAAACCGUGUACGUACAAGCAGUGGGAGCACCUUCGGGUGUGACUGCGUACCUUUUGUAUAAUGGGUCAGCGACUUAUAUUCUGUAGCAAGGUUAACCGUAUAGGGGAGCCGCAGGGAAACCGAGUCUUAACUGGGCGUUAAGUUGCAGGGUAUAGACCCGAAACCCGGUGAUCUAGCCAUGGGCAGGUUGAAGGUUGGGUAACACUAACUGGAGGACCGAACCGACUAAUGUUGAAAAAUUAGCGGAUGACUUGUGGCUGGGGGUGAAAGGCCAAUCAAACCGGGAGAUAGCUGGUUCUCCCCGAAAGCUAUUUAGGUAGCGCCUCGUGAAUUCAUCUUCGGGGGUAGAGCACUGUUUCGGCUAGGGGGUCAUCCCGACUUACCAACCCGAUGCAAACUACGAAUACCGAAGAAUGUUAUCACGGGAGACACACGGCGGGUGCUAACGUCCGUCGUGAAGAGGGAAACAACCCAGACCGCCAGCUAAGGUCCCAAAGUCACAGUUAAGUGGGAAACGAUGUGGGAAGGCACAGACAGCCAGGAUGUUGGCUUAGAAGCAGCCAUCAUUUAAAGAAAGCGUAAUAGCUCACUGGUCGAGUCGGCCUGCGCGGAAGAUGUAACGGGGCUAAACUGUGCACCGAAGCUGCGGCAGCGACACUAUGUGUUGUUGGGUAGGGGAGCGUUCUGUAAGCCUGCGAAGGUGGCCUGUGAGGGUUGCUGGAGGUAUCAGAAGUGCGAAUGCUGACAUAAGUAACGAUAAUGCGGGUGAAAAGCCCGCACGCCGGAAGACCAAGGGUUCCUGUCCAACGUUAAUCGGGGCAGGGUGAGUCGACCCCUAAGGCGAGGCCGAAAGGCGUAGUCGAUGGGAAACAGGUUAAUAUUCCUGUACUUGGUGUUACUGCGAAGGGGGGACGGAGAAGGCUAUGUUAGCCGGGCGACGGUUGUCCCGGUUUAAGCAUGUAGGCGGAGGUUCCAGGUAAAUCCGGUACCUUUUAACGCUGAGGUGUGAUGACGAGGCACUACGGUGCUGAAGUAACAAAUGCCCUGCUUCCAGGAAAAGCCUCUAAGCAUCAGGUAACAUUAAAUCGUACCCCAAACCGACACAGGUGGUCAGGUAGAGAAUACCAAGGCGCUUGAGAGAACUCGGGUGAAGGAACUAGGCAAAAUGGUGCCGUAACUUCGGGAGAAGGCACGCUGAUAUGUAGGUGAAGCCCCUGCGGGUGGAGCUGAAAUCAGUCGAAGAUACCAGCUGGCUGCAACUGUUUAUUAAAAACACAGCACUGUGCAAACACGAAAGUGGACGUAUACGGUGUGACGCCUGCCCGGUGCCGGAAGGUUAAUUGAUGGGGUUAUCCGUAAGGAGAAGCUCUUGAUCGAAGCCCCGGUAAACGGCGGCCGUAACUAUAACGGUCCUAAGGUAGCGAAAUUCCUUGUCGGGUAAGUUCCGACCUGCACGAAUGGCGUAAUGAUGGCCAGGCUGUCUCCACCCGAGACUCAGUGAAAUUGAACUCGCUGUGAAGAUGCAGUGUACCCGCGGCAAGACGGAAAGACCCCGUGAACCUUUACUAUAGCUUGACACUGAACAUUGAGCCUUGAUGUGUAGGAUAGGUGGGAGGCUUUGAAGCGUGGACGCCAGUCUGCGUGGAGCCAACCUUGAAAUACCACCCUUUAAUGUUUGAUGUUCUAACGUUGGCCCCUUAUCGGGGUUGCGGACAGUGUCUGGUGGGUAGUUUGACUGGGGCGGUCUCCUCCCAAAGAGUAACGGAGGAGCACGAAGGUUAGCUAAUCCUGGUCGGACAUCAGGAGGUUAGUGCAAUGGCAUAAGCUAGCUUGACUGCGAGCGUGACGGCGCGAGCAGGUGCGAAAGCAGGUCAUAGUGAUCCGGUGGUUCUGAAUGGAAGGGCCAUCGCUCAACGGAUAAAAGGUACUCCGGGGAUAACAGGCUGAUACCGCCCAAGAGUUCAUAUCGACGGCGGUGUUUGGCACCUCGAUGUCGGCUCAUCACAUCCUGGGGCUGAAGUAGGUCCCAAGGGUAUGGCUGUUCGCCAUUUAAAGUGGUACGCGAGCUGGGUUUAGAACGUCGUGAGACAGUUCGGUCCCUAUCUGCCGUGGGCGCUGGAGAAUUGAGGGGGGCUGCUCCUAGUACGAGAGGACCGGAGUGGACGCAUCACUGGUGUUCGGGUUGUCAUGCCAAUGGCAUUGCCCGGUAGCUAAAUGCGGAAGAGAUAAGUGCUGAAAGCAUCUAAGCACGAAACUUGCCCCGAGAUGAGUUCUCCCUGAGACUUUAAGUCUCCUGAAGGAACGUUAAAGACGAUGACGUUGAUAGGUCGGAUGUGUAAGCGUAGCGAUACGUUGAGCUAACCGAUACUAAUGAACCGUGAGGCUUAACCUUACAACGCCGAAGGUGUUU